rnacentral:rRNA from 1 species
GAGUUUGAUCAUGGCUCAGAUUGAACGCUGGCGGCAUGCUUUACACAUGCAAGUCGAACGGUAACAGGGAGCUUGCUCCGCUGACGAGUGGCGAACGGGUGAGUAAUGCGUCGGAACGUGCCGAGUAGUGGGGGAUAACGCAUCGAAAGGUGUGCUAAUACCGCAUACGAACUGAGGUUGAAAGUGGGGGACCUUCGGGCCUCACGCUAUUCGAGCGGCCGACGUCUGAUUAGCUAGUAGGUGAGGUAAAGGCUCACCUAGGCGACGAUCAGUAGCGGGUCUGAGAGGAUGAUCCGCCACACUGGGACUGAGACACGGCCCAGACUCCUACGGGAGGCAGCAGUGGGGAAUUUUGGACAAUGGGCGCAAGCCUGAUCCAGCCAUGCCGCGUGUCUGAAGAAGGCCUUCGGGUUGUAAAGGACUUUUGUCUGGGAGCAAAUACCCGGUGUUAAUAGCGCCGGGGGCUGAGAGUACCAGAAGAAUAAGCACCGGCUAACUACGUGCCAGCAGCCGCGGUAAUACGUAGGGUGCAAGCGUUAAUC